CACACAGUGAAAAUGCCCUCAUUCUCACCUGUUUUGUUCAAAAGAAACAUGAUACAUACAGAAAUGAAAAUCAUCUUGCUGUAGGGGUACUUUUUAUUGAAUGGCUGUGGUGAGAUGACGGAGGUGGAGCCGGCAUUGGACUUUGCAUCAUCAGGCCGGUCAGGUCGACGUAAUGCCCUUCCUGACAUUUUGGGCUCUCCUGCUGGUGUUAACCCAUCCGACCUGCCCCUCACACUAGCUGAAAUCUCCCUCACAGAUGGUCCUGGAGGAGCUCAGUCUCCAGCAUCACAGGAAACACCAAUCUCUCCAGAGACUUUAGAGAAGAAACAGUGAUCCUAAAAACUCAUUUUCUCAUCCUCCAGUGAACACCCGUACAAAUGGAAGGAAAUACUCAACUGAUAAGAUGUCUGUGCUGCAGACUAACAUUUCAUUUUCAGCACAGACUAUAACCCUGUGCCUACUGACAUUAAUAGAUGACUCAGACUCAUUGCCUUUGUGUAUGUUGUUGAUGAGACUAUAGGUGAGAUGUUUCAGAUUUCCUCAGUCACCUGGCCUAAUGAUGAAAGAAGUGGUUUGAAACACUUCGCGAGAUUCUGGUCAUGCACAUGCUGCUGAGAGCAUAAUUGAACAGAAUAUGUAAAUAUGCACACACACAACAACAUACCAAUGUGUUUAUAUAUUUGAUCAAACUUUGUAGGCUGCAUUGAAAUCAUGUUUUGAUCAUGACAUGAUUUUGAUCAUGUUUAGGUUGAUUUAAAGCAAUCAACUUUACAGCAUCAAAGAUAAAAAAUCUGUGUUGGCAUUACUUUCAAUUUUGACAAUAUUAAGACAGUUUUCAAACCGAACAGUGCAUAUUAAGCUGAGAAAAAUGUCCACAUCUACUAAUUAUGGACCAGUUUUAUUGUAGUUUAAAAGCUAAAUUAUUUUGGCUUGAUUUUGCUCACAAUGCUUGCUCUCCUGUUUAUACAUCUAUCAGGAGCCUAAGUUACAAGAAACACAAUAAAGUGGCUUAGAAACAGCCAGUGUUGUUACUAAUUAAUUACAAAUAAUUGUGAACUAUGAUGAUAUACAAUAUAUAAAUAUUUCCUUGCAGAAUAACUGAAACAACAUAAGCUCAAGGUAAGAAACCAAUACACCA